rnacentral:rRNA from 1 species
UACAGAGGUCUCAAGCGUUGUUCGGAUUCAUUGGGCGUAAAGGGUGCGUAGGUGGCGCCGUAAGUCAGGUGUGAAAUUUCGGAGCUUAACUCCGAAAACUGCAUUUGAUACUGCGGUGCUUGAGGACUGGAGAGGAGACUGGAAUUUACGGUGUAGCAGUGAAAUGCGUAGAGAUCGUAAGGAAGACCAGUGGCGAAGGCGGGUCUCUGGACAGUUCC